rnacentral:rRNA from 1 species
AUGACAUCGCAGGUAUCCCCGUCACAGGGCACAGGUGGCAGCGACGUUGAGGACGAGGAUGUUGAGCUGUUCUCGGUUAAUUGGAACCAGGACCAUAGUUGCUUCAGUGCUGCCACAGCCAAUGGCCUCAGGAUGUUUAGUUGCAAACCAUUCAAGGAGCAAUUAAGGAGGAUUCAGGAGGACGGAGGGUUUCGAAUUGUCGAGAUGCUGUUCCGCACCAACAUAUUUGGCCUUGUGGGCCAGGGAGCCGACAAGCAGUAUCAACAAAACAAACUCACCAUCUGGGAUGAUUGCCAUAACCUUCUCAUUGGUGACUUCUCAUUCAAGUCCAACAUCCGAGCUGUCAAAUUGUCUAAGGACUAUUUUGUGGUUGCUCUCGAGCACGAGAUAUAUGUUUACAGUUUUAAGACUCUGAAGCUCAUCCAUCUGAUUGAUACCACAUCCAACCCGAAAGGAUUGUGCUGCCUCUCGCAUCAUGCAGACAUUUCAGUGAUGGCCUGCCCUGGGACGCGCCAAGGAAUUGUUCGGGUUGAGCAUUUUGGGUCGAAGGAGACCAAGUUCAUCACUGCUCAUGACUCCAACAUUUCAUGCAUGACACUCACCGUGGAUGGGCUCCUCUUAGCAACAGCCAGUGUUAGGGGUACUUUGAUCAGAAUAUUCAACACGAUGGACGGCGCUUGUCUGCAGGAGGUGCGCAGAGGAGUGGACAAAGCUGAGAUAUAUAGCAUUGCACUAUCACCAAACCUGCAGUGGUUGGCAGUGUCUAGUGACAAAGGCACAAUGCAUAUUUUCAGUUUGAGAGCGAGGCCUAGAGGGAAAGAUGCAAGUAAUGGGAAAUCUGCAAUUGCUGGUCGACAAAUGGAUCGUAGUUACUCAUCUGGUUCUGUUGGGUCCAAUGUGAGCUCAUCAUUAUCUUUCAUGAAAGGGAUUCUCCCCAAAUAUUUCAGUUCGGAAUGGUCAUUUGCUCAGUUCCGUUUACCCGAAGUCACACGCUAUAUUACAGCAUUUGGAGAUCAAACCACUGUGAUGAUGAUCGGUCUGGAUGGCAGUUUCUAUAGGUGCAACUUUGACCCUGUAAAUGGCGGGAAGAUGGUGCUGGAUGAAUUCAUCCGGUUUAUGAAACCCAGCAUGUCCCGUUCCAGGACUCCGAACACCUGA